rnacentral:lncRNA from 1 species
GUGCCCCUACAUCCCCCAAAAUAAGUGGAAACAUCAGCCUUCGUGUCAUCUGUGUAUUAAUUUACUAUAGUACACGUGCUGCUGGGCUACCUGAAAUAUGUGGAAAGAAACAACACAAACAUCCUCACAGAGGUGACAACAACAACAACAACCAAAAAAAAAAAAAAAUUCCUUCAAGGGGGCAGGGGCAAGGAAGGAAGACUCAGCUAUUCUGUCAGGUAUACUUGGGGCAUUUUGGCACGUCCAGCUCUGUGGCCACCUGCUUUGCUGCAUUCAGGAGCUCCCACUGGCUGAGCAGAUCCACACCACAUCAGUGACAUCCAUCCUGUCCCAACAGACAGGUCCCCAUGACCACAGAGCUCCUCUAUAGUUUCCACUCAGCCCAGGUGCCAAAACAUGCACGGCUGCAUCUUGAACAAACCAAAGCCUUUCACUGCACACCUGGGAAGUCAGCACUCCAAAAAUAAAAAUAAAUACAAAGGUUUACUCCUGAAGAAU